rnacentral:rRNA from 1 species
CCAAUAGCGUAUAUUAAAGUUGCUGCAGUUAAAAAGCUCGUAGUUGAAUUUCGGGACUAAUAUGUCGGUCGUGCCUAGGUACGUACUGGUAUUUUUGGUUUCUCCCUUCUGACGAACCUUGAUGUCAUUAAUUUGGUGUCUUGGGAAAUCAGGACUGUUACUUUGAAAAAAUUAGAGUGUUUAAAGCAGGCUCACGCUUGAAUACAUUAGCAUGGAAUAAUGAAAUAGGACGUUUGAUUCUAUUUUGUUGGUUUCUAGGAUCGACGUAAUGAUUAAUAGGGAUAGUUGGGGGCAUUAGUAUUCAAUUGUCAGAGGUGAAAUUCUUGGAUUUAUUGAAGACUAACUACUGCGAAAGCAUUUGCCAAGGAUGUUUUCAUUAAUCAAGAACGAAAGUUAGGGGAUCGAAGACGAUCAGAUACCGUCGUAGUCUUAACCAUAAACUAUGCCGACUAGGGAUCGGAUGAUGUUAAUUUUUUAAUGACUCAUUCGGCGCCUUACG